CCCGUCCCCAGCGCUCAGUUAGGAGGAGGCUGCCAGAGAAGGCAUACUCUAGGGCCCGAGAUCCUGCUGGGCCUGGCCUACCCCGUGCCCGGUACCCGGAAGGGUACUGGCCUGACCUCCCCUGCGGUCAGUACUCAGAGGAGCCGACUGAGCGGUCCGACACUUGGCCUGUGGGGGAGCUGUCUGGACCUCCCGACGCCUGGUACCCCGAAGAGGGGACCGGACCCCCCGACGCCUGGUACCCCGAAGAGGGGACCGGACCCCCUGACGCCUGGUACCCCGAGGAGGGGACCGGACCUCCCGACGCCUGGUACCCCGAGGAGGGGACUGGACCCCCCGACGCCCGGUACCCGAGGAGUGGACCGGACCUCCCAAAACCCCGGCGAGUGGACUGGACCUUCCGACGUCGGACACCCUGAGGAACCCAUGAUCUGGGACCCCCCGGACUACGCUGGCAGAGGGCAGCAAGGGACGGGCCCCGAGUCAACAGAGUGCGGUGGGCCGGUGUGGAUCCUCUCCGCCCGCAAGGAGGGUUCAGCCCCGGCGCCGCUCUACUGCAGGUUGUAUCAGCUGUGAUGCUGUCAAGAGUAAGACCCUGCAGCUGCUCCUGCUCAGUACUCCUAACACAAGCCAGAUAGAUGACCUGAUGGAUCACACCAUGCCUGAUUGCCUGAGGAAGCUAGCAGGAAUUGGAAAAACUUGGAGGGGAUGAAGGGAGACAAAUUUGUCUACUGAAAAGUAUCUCUGGAAUAUUUGUAUUAACUUGCUUUGACAUCUCUUAAUACUCCUAAAACUAAAUAUUCAAGUGAAGGAACAAAUGUUUAGAUGAAGGACCCUGCUUUUGUUGAGGUUAAUGAGAGUUUUGCUAUAGAAUUCAAUGGCAGCAAGAUCAACCCUAAAUUUGUUUAUCAGGACUGUAACUUACUUCAGGCUGCUACAUAGGAUUUAAAAGGUCUGUUACUUACACUUCGCUCUUAUCUUCACCUAGAUGUGUGGUCUGAGUCUAUAAUGCUUAACUGAGAGGAUGGGGGUGGGAGGGGUGAGGGAGAGAGAGUGGUAUGUUAUCUAUCAGUUAUGCCUCUUUGUGUAUCCCUGGAUUUGCUGGAACCUUGAGCUCUGUAAACAGCAAUGGGAAAAGUAAAUAAACUUGUGUUUAAAUGAAUCAAUGACAUAUGAAGCAAUAAAACUAGCACAACAGCA